rnacentral:antisense_RNA from 1 species
UCUGGCUUUGGGAUUAUCUCGUUUGAUCCGGUUGCCCACGGCCAGCAUCAGGUGGGUUUUACCAAGACCGGUACCACCGUA